UAUGGCUAUAUCACAUUGAAAUAACAGUUCCUGUAUGAUCACCAAAGUUAAGCAAUGUCAAGCCUGGUCAAUACUUAGAUGGGUGACUGCUUGGGAAUACCAGGCACUGUAAG